rnacentral:rRNA from 1 species
AGAGACAGCAGCAGCCGCGGGAAUACGAAGGGGGCUAGCGUUGCUCGGAAUUACUGGGCGUAAAGGGAGCGUAGGCGGACAUUUAAGUCAGGGGUGAAAUCCCAGAGCUCAACUCUGGAACUGCCUUUGAUACUGGGUGUCUUGAGUGUGAUGGAGGUAUGUGGAACUCCGAGUGUAGAGGUGAAAUUCGUAGAUAUUCGGAAGAACACCAGUGGCGAAGGCGACAUACUGGAUCAUUACUGACGCUGAGGUUCGAAAGCGUGGGGAGCAAACAGGAUUAGAUACCCCUGUAGUCCCUGUCUCUUAUAC